rnacentral:sRNA from 1 species
AUUUUUUUUAAUUGUAUGAGUUUCUACUAAGAAACUACCGCUGCAGUUGGUCUUAUACCUAUUCUUUUCCUAAUACUUACUUCUUCCUCAUAUUCUAGUUCAUUCAAAU